rnacentral:rRNA from 1 species
GUGCAGCAGUCGCGAAAACUUUGCAAUACACGAAAGUGUGACAGGGCCAUCCCGAGUGCCGUCCGCUGAGGAUGGCUUUUACCCAGUCUAGAAAGCUGGGGGAAUAAGGAGAGGGCAAGUCUGGUGUCAGCCGCCGCGGUAAUACCAGCUCUCCGAGUGGUGGGGAUGUUUAUUGGGCCUAAAGCAUCCGUAGCUGGCUGGGCAAGUCCCCUGUUAAAUCCACCGAUUUAAUCGUUGGUUUGCGGGGGAUACUGCUCGGCUAGGGGACGGGAGAGGCCGACGGUAUUCCCGGGGUAGGGGUGAAAUCCUAUAAUCCCGGGAAGACCACCAGUGGCGAAGGCUGUCGGCUAGAACGCGCCCGACGGUGAGGGAUGAAAGCUGGGGGAGCGAACCGGAUUAGAUACCCGUGUAGUCC